AUACUUACCUGGCAGGGGAGAUACCAUGAUCGAGAAGGUGGUUCACCCCGGGCGAGGCUCAGCCAGUGUGCUGAGGCUGUGCUGACCCCUGCAAAUUCCCCAAAUGUGGGAAUCUUGACUUUCUGGUAGUGGGGGACUGCGUCCGCGCGCUCCCCUG